rnacentral:lncRNA from 1 species
UUAAAAAAAAAAUAAUUGAUGAGAUGACAAUGUUUUGACAGAUUAUUAAAAGAAAAGGGGUUAGGGUUUGAUAUGUGACAAACCCUUUCUACCCAAAUAAGGGUUUCAGAAUUGCAAAAGGGAAAGUUGCUUGCCUGCGCCGCCAAGGGAUUUUCACGAAUUGGUAGAGGUGCUACUUUUGGUGGCUUAAAGCUCACGGUGGCGGGAUGAACUCUUGCGAUGGUCGUAGCGAAACUUGCGAUGGCAUGGUGGAGGAUGAAAAUGGAGGUUGGCAACGGUGGUGGCUAGCGACGAAAGCACGAUUCUGGUUUGAUGAAAUUUGAUGGUUGAUGCAAAAGGAAAUACUUUAUUGGAUUUUAAUUUCCUCUAUUUAAUCAAACUAUAAUCAUUCUUCCUGUUGUUUGCUUCCUGCUUGUAUCAUUCAACCUGUGUCAACCACUGUUUCAAGUAAAGAAAGUGGUACCACUUUCAUAAGCCACUNUCAACCACUGUAAUAA